UACGUAGGGGGCAAGCGUUGUCCGGAAUUAUUGGGCGUAAAGCGCGUGUAGGCGGUCCGGUAAGUCGGCUGUGAAAGUCCAGGGCUCAACCCUGGGAUGCCGGCCGAUACUGUCGGACUAGAGUCCGGAAGAGGCAAGUGGAAUUCCCGGUGUAGCGGUGAAAUGCGCAGAUAUCAGGAGGAACACCAAUAGCGAAGGCAGCUCGCUGGGACGUUACUGACACUGAGGCGCGAAAGCGUGGGGAGCGAACAGG
rnacentral:rRNA from 1 species